rnacentral:rRNA from 1 species
GACGAACGCUGGCGGCGUGCUUAACACAUGCAAGUCGAACGGAAGGGCCCUGCUUUUGUGGGGUGCUCGAGUGGCGAACGGGUGAGUAACACGUGAGUAACCUGCCCUUGACUUUGGGAUAACUUCAGGAAACUGGGGCUAAUACCGGAUAGGAGCUCCUGCUGCAUGGUGGGGGUAGGAAAGUUUCGGCGGUUGGGGAUGGACUCGCGGCUUAUCAGCUUGUUGGUGGGGUAGUGGCUUACCAAGGCUUUGACGGGUAGCCGGCCUGAGAGGGUGACCGGCGACAUUGGGACUGAGAUACGGCCCAGACGCCUACGGGAGGCAGCAGUGGGGAAUAUUGCACAAUGGGCGGAAGCCUGAUGCAGCAACGCCGCGUGCGGGAUGACGGCCUUCGGGUUGUAAACCGCUUUCGCCUGUGACGAAGCGUGAGUGACGGUAAUGGGUAAAGAAGCACCGGCUAACUACGUG